CCCGACUUCCAGUCAUUAUGCUAAGCUAAGCAGCUGAAGCUUCAUAUUCAGUGUACAGACAUGAGAGUGGUGUCGAUCUCAUCUAGAACGACCGCUGAUAAAUCCCUGCUGCUGUCGUCUGGGAGGAGACCAUAAGGUGAGACUGCUCGAGUGAAGGAAACUUGAGGGGUCUACUGAGAGGACCAUUGCUAAGCUUGAAAAGACCCAAAAUGCGACCUCCGGACAGGGCCUCUAUGGCUGUACCGAAGCCCAGCUCUCGACACACCACAGUGGCAGACAGCAAGCUCCAGUUGUC